rnacentral:rRNA from 1 species
GACGAACGCUGGCGGCGUGCUUAACACAUGCAAGUCGAACGGUAAGGCCCUUCGGGGUACACGAGUGGCGAACGGGUGAGUAACACGUGGGUGAUCUGCCCUGCACUUCGGGAUAAGCCUGGGAAACUGGGUCUAAUACCGGAUAGGACCACUGCCUGCAUGGGGGGUGGUGGAAAGCUUUUGAGGUGUGGGAUGGGCCCGCGGCCUAUCAGCUUGUUGGUGGGCUGAAGGCCUACCAAGGCUACGAAGGAUAGCCGGCCUGAGAGGGUGACCGGCCACAAUGGGACUGAGGUACGGCCCAGACUCCUACGGGAGGCAGCAGUGGGGAAUAUUGCACAAUGGGCGCAAGCCUGAUGCAGCGACGCCGCGUGAGGGAUGACGGCCUUCGGGUUGUAAACCUCUUUCAGCACCGACGAAGCGCAAGUGACGGUAGGUGUAGAAGAAGGACCGGCCAACUACGUGCCAGCCGCCGCCGUAA